rnacentral:rRNA from 1 species
AACGAACGCUGGCGGCAGGCCUAACACAUGCAAGUCGAGCGAACCCUUCGGGGUUAGCGGCGGACGGGUUAGUAACGCGUGGGAAUAUACCCUUUGGUACGGAAUAGCCUCGGGAAACUGAGAGUAAUACCGUAUGUGCCCUUCGGGGGAAAGGAUUUAUCGCCAAAGGAUUAGCCCGCGUUGGAUUAGAUAGUUGGUGGGGUAAUGGCCUACCAAGUCUACGAUCCAUAGCUGGUUUGAGAGGAUGAUCAGCAACACUGGGACUGAGACACGGCCCAGACUCCUACGGGAGGCAGCAGUGGGGAAUCUUAGACAAUGGGCGCAAGCCUGAUCUAGCCAUGCCGCGUGGACGAUGAAGGCCUUAGGGUUGUAAAGUCCUUUCAGAUGGGGAAGAUAAUGACGGUACCAUCAGAUGAAGCCCCGGCUAACUCCGUGCCAGCAGCCGCGGUAAAGUACAGUGU